rnacentral:snRNA from 1 species
AGCUAAGACAUUUCAAUCUAAGAG